rnacentral:rRNA from 1 species
CCCGCGAGAGCGCGCGGCCCGCGGAGCGCGCGGCCCGGGGGGCGACCCCGGGGACGCGCGUCCCCGCGAGCUCCGAACAACAACCCUCUGGGCGCGGCGAGCGCCAAGGAAUCGAAGCGGAAAGGGCGGCCGCCCCGCCCGGCGCCGGGGAUGCGGCGCCGGCGCGGGGAUCCGCCGCCCGCCUGUGAAUCUCUCUCACAGACGACUCUCGGCAACGGAUAUCUCGGCUCUCGCAUCGAUGAAGAACGUAGCGAAAUGCGAUACUUGGUGUGAAUUGCAGAAUCCCGUGAACCAUCGAGUCUUUGAACGCAAGUUGCGCCCGAGGCCACUCGGCCGAGGGCACGCCUGCCUGGGCGUCACGCCACCCAUCGCCCCCCGCCGCGGCAUUCCCAUGCCCCGCGGGGGAGCGGAGAGUGGCCGUCCGUGCCCGAGCCCUCGGCGCGCGGUCGGCAGAAAAAGGAGGACACCGUGCGGCGCGGCACGGCGUGUGGGGGUUGAGAGGCGAUUCGUCGCCGAUCGUACGCCGCGCCCGCAUUCCGCCGCGCGCAGUGUCACCGGUGGGACCGGACUCGCCCGCAGCCGCGGGCGCUCGG